AUUGAACGCUGGCGGCAGGCCUAACACAUGCAAGUCGAGCGAGCGGCGGACGGGUGAGUAAUGUAUGGGGAUCUGCCCGAUGGAGGGGGAUAACUACUGGAAACGGUAGCUAAUACCGCAUACUAUCAGAUGAACCCAUAUGGGAUUAGCUUGUAGGUGGGGUAAAGGCUCACCAAGGCGACGAUCUCUAGCUGGUCUGAGAGGAUGAGCAGCCACACUGGAACUGAGACACGGUCCAGACGCCUACGUGAGGCAGCAGUGGGGAAUAUUGCACAAUGGGCGCAAGCCUGAUGCAGCCAUGCCGCGUGUAUGAAGAAGGCCUUCGGGUUGUAAAGUACUUUCAGCGGGGAGGCGUUACCCGCAGAAGAAGCACCGGCUAACUCCGUGCCAGCAGCCGCGGUAAUAC
rnacentral:rRNA from 1 species